rnacentral:rRNA from 1 species
GAUGAACGCUGGCGGCGUGCCUAAUACAUGCAAGUCGAGCGAACAGAUAAGGAGCUUGCUCCUUUGACGUUAGCGGCGGACGGGUGAGUAACACGUGGGUAACCUACCUAUAAGACUGGAAUAACUCCGGGAAACCGGGGCUAAUGCCGGAUAACAUUUAGAACCGCAUGGUUCUAAAGUGAAAGAUGGUUUUGCUAUCACUUAUAGAUGGACCCGCGCCGUAUUAGCUAGUUGUUAAGGUAACGGCUUACCAAGGCAACGAUACGUAGCCGACCUGAGAGGGUGAUCGGCCACACUGGAACUGAGACACGGUCCAGACUCCUACGGGAGGCAGCAGUAGGGAAUCGUCCGCAAUGGGCGAAAGCCUGACGGAGCAACGCCGCGUGAGUGAUGAAGGUCUUCGGAUCGUAAAACUCUGUUAUUAGGGAAGAACAAAUGUGUAAGUAACUGUGCACGUCUUGACGGUACCUAAUCAGAAAGCCACGGCUAACUACGUG